UGUUGAAACACCGGUUCUCACGAGAUCCCCGAAGUAAAGCAACGUUGAGUCUGGUCAGUACCGAGAUGGGUGACCGCUUGGGAAUAGCACGUAUUGUAGG